AGGGAUUGCCUUAGUAACGGCGAGUGAAGCGGCAAUAGCUCAAAUUUGAAAGCUGGCCCCUUCGGGGUCCGCGUUGUAAUUUGUAGAGGAUGAUUCGGCGAGGGCUCCCGUCUAAGUCCCUUGGAACAGGGCGUCAUAGAGGGUGAGAAUCCCGUAUGUGAUGGGCUGCCUUAGCCAUGUGAAUCUCCUUCGACGAGUCGAGUUGUUUGGGAAUGCAGCUCUAAAUGGGAGGUAAAUUUCUUCUAAAGCUAAAUACCGGCCAGAGACCGAUAGCGCACAAGUAGAGUGAUCGAAAGAUGAAAAGCACUUUGGAAAGAGAGUUAAAAAGUACGUGAAAUUGUUGAAAGGGAAGCGCUUGCAGCCAGACUUGUCCGCAGUUGCUCAGCUUGUCUCCUGACAGGCGUACUCUUCUGCGGCCAGGCCAGCAUCAGUUCGGGCGGUCGGAUAAAGACCUAGGGAAUGUAGCUCCUCUCGGGGAGUGUUAUAGCCCUGGGUGCAAUGCGGCCAGCCUGGACUGAGGAUCUCGCUUCGGCUAGGAUGCUGGCGUAAUGGCUGUAAGCGGCCCGUCUUGAAACACGGACCAAGGAGUCUAACAUCUAUGCGAGUGUUUGGGUGUCAAACCCAUGCGCGUAAUGAAAGUGAACGGAGGUGGGAACCCUCACGGGUGCACCAUCGACCGAUCCUGAUGUCUUCGGAUGGAUUUGAGUAAGAGCAUAGCUGUUGGGACCCGAAAGAUGGUGAACUAUGCCUGAAUAGGGUGAAGCCAGAGGAAACUCUGGUGGAGGCUCGCAGCGGUUCUGACGUGCAAAUCGAUCGUCAAAUUUGGGUAUAGGGGCGAAAGACUAAUCGA
rnacentral:rRNA from 1 species